rnacentral:lncRNA from 1 species
GCUGCAAUAGGUAAAAGCCUGGGUUAUCUGGAUCAAGCUAUGCAUGUUCUUACGGAUGCUCCAGCAUGUGACCUUGAACAGGUAUCUACGCGACCUUCAGCCAGUCACUUAACUUCCUGAGUCUCAGCUGCCUCAUGUAAAAUGAAGAUAAUAGUACCUACUUCUUAAGGCCAUUAUGAGGAAGAAAUGAGAUAAUCCAGAUGACAGAAAUACACUACUAUGAUACUCUGCUCCACAAACACAAAUUCAUUCAUCUACCUAUUUCCCUCCUCACCACCCCUUUCUCUCAACACACACACAGGCAUACAAUUUCAUGGUAAAAUAUCUCAGGAACAGAAAACCAGCACAGCAUUACUCCUGCAGUUUCUCCUUAUACAACCUGCAGCUUAAGGGAAGGUCAGCAGCAUAAAAAAAGGUGAUGACUUUGAAAUGUGUAUCACGAAACCAAGCUAUUUAUCAAUAAGCCUAACAAGAAUAAGGUGAGAGCCCAUUUCAGCUGGCCAGAAUGACUGCUGUACAUCACACUCAGAGGCAGCAAGCCAAGACAGAAUAAGGGUUACCAAGUUGUUAUGGUAACUAAAUUGUAGCUGGUUCCAUAAAACAUUAGCUUUUCUAUCCCAGGGCCCAUGUUUAAAAUUCAAUGCAAGUCAAGGUCUUUAGUUCAAAUGAGGCAGCUAGUGGUCCCCUCAACCUACAAUAAACCACGCCAAGAACGAACUCCAUUUGUGCAGAGCACAGCAGCAGCCACAAACAAGCAAGCUCAGCUGCUCUAAGCCAAAGGGCUUCUCCCAUUAACCCUCAGCCUGUGACAUCAUGACCAAAGCGGCAACCUACUCCAGCUGACUUCACCGAUAGACCAGCACUAUCCACAAAGGGAAACAAAACAAAGAUGCAAAACAAAGGUCAGAGAAACCACAGCUGAAAGCAAAAUCAGAGGUGGAACAAUCCUCUGAUAUCCUCAGCACACGUAGAUCAGCGUUUAAGGCAGAGGCUUCAGAGUCCAAGAGAUUCAACUUGAAUAUCAACU